rnacentral:tRNA from 1 species
GGACAGUUAACUCUGCUGGGCAGAGCACUCGUUGGAAGCGAGUUGGAUCUGAAACAUGGUUAGGGUUCGAUUCCCUAGCUGUCCUCCA